CAGGAGCUCUUUGACGGGUUCUUUGACUCGCACGCCAAGAUAAGGUCGGUUUUGGUUAUGCUGGUGCUGAUCUGAAGUCACAGCUAGAAAACAAAAAAAGAAAAAGUACACUAAACAAGGCUUGCAUUGUUUAGAGAGAAUGAAGACCCUAAAAGUACAUAGAAAGCCAGGACAUAAAAAGGCUGCAGGCUUCUUCUCAUCUUUCUUACAAUCUGGAGGUCCAGACUGACCAUUUGUCCUACACUCUAUGUAUGCCAUCUGACCUGUCCCCGUUAAGCUCUUCUACUACAAUAUGAUGAAAUGAAUUUGCCUGGACUAAGAUAAAGUUAUCACCUCA